CCGGUUGAUCCUGGCGGAGGCCACUGCUAUUGGGAUCCGACUAAGCCAUGCGAGUCGAGAGGGUUCGGCCCUCGGCAGACUGCUCAGUAACACGUGGAUAAUCUACCCUUAGGUGGAGGAUACUCUCGGGAAACUGAGAAUAAUACUCCAUAGGUCUAGGAUGCUGGAAUGCACCUAGGUUGAAAGCUCCGGCGCCUAAGGACGAGUCUGCGGACUAUCAGGUAGUAGUCAGGGUAAAGACCUGACUAGCCUACGACGGAUACGGGUUGUGAGAGCAAUAGCCCGGAGACGAUAUCUGAGACACGAUAUCGGGCCCUACGGGGCGCAGCAGGCGCGAAAUCUUCACAAUGUGCGAAAGCACGAUGAGGGGAUCCCAAGUGUUGGUUCGUAAGAGUCAUCUGUUUCUUUGUCUAAAAAACAGGGAGAGUAAGAGCUGGGUAAGACGGGUGCCAGCCGCCGCGGUAAUACCUGCAGCUCAAGUGGUGGCCGCUAUUAUUGGGCCUAAAACGUCCGUAGCCGGUUUAGUAAAUGCCUGGGUAAAUUGUGUAGCUCAACUAUACGAAUACCGGGUAGACUGCUAAACUUGGAACCGGGAGAGGCUAGAGGUACUCCUAGGGUAGAGGUGAAAUUCUGUAAUCCUAGGGGGACCACCAGUGGCGAAGGCGUCUAGCCAGAACGGGUUUGACGGUGAGGGACGAAGCCCUGGGGCGCAAACCGGAUUAGAUACCCGGGUAGUCCAGGGUGUAAACGCUGCUCGCUUGAUGUUAGUCGGGCUCCGAGCCCAACUAGUGUCGGAGAGAAGUUGUUAAGCGAGCUGCCUGGGAAGUACGGUCGCAAGGCUGAAACUUAAAGGAAUUGGCGGGGGAGCACAGCAACGGGUGGAGCGUGCGGUUUAAUUGGAUUCAACGCCGGAAAUCUCACCG
rnacentral:ncRNA from 1 species